GUUUAAUCUCCUUCAUCUUUAUGUAAAUUACAGAGUAAUGAUAGAAAAGAUGAUAUUCAAUCUCAAGAAAUGCUUCAAUCGAAGACGGUCCAAGUGAAAGUUCAAUUGAUUAGGGAGUGCUUGUUUGGGAUCUUCAACUUCAGAUGCAAUACGAUUAAAAUGGUCUCACGAACACCUUUGGAAAGCUGAACUUGAUGUGUCGAUUGAAAACACGAUCCACUUUAAGUUCAUACUCAAAGAUCCAGAUACAAGAGUGGUUAAAUGGAAAACUGACUCUAGCAGGGUUUUUCAGAUAAAGGAAACUAAUAAAAACGAACGUUGUUUUUGAAUACUGGUACUUCAGAGAGAUUCAGAUGAUCAGUGAAGAAGAGCCACUUGCUAACUCAAGCACAUCAGAGGAUGUAAUAGUAGGUAAUUCAAAUACAUAUGACACGAUCUAAUUCAUGUACAAUAGAAGCCUUGUCCAAUUCAAAUACAAAGGAAUCCGUCCUCGCUUGUCCAUCAAUAGUUUUGAGAAAAUGAGCCAUCCAGAAGAACGAACUGAUAUAUGAGAUGAUGUGACUGGUACUGCUAGUAGCUUUGCUACUGAGAAGAAAUCAACAAGCUUGAGAGAUGAGGAUACCUUGUCUGAACGUGAAACGGAGCCCGUUCAUGUACGCGUUACCAAUAAUAUAUGUCAAUGAAGUCCUUCU